rnacentral:rRNA from 1 species
GAGUGGCGAACGGGUGAGUAAUAUAUCGGAACGUGCCCAGUCGUGGGGGAUAACUGCUCGAAAGAGCAGCUAAUACCGCAUACGACCUGAGGGUGAAAGCGGGGGAUCGCAAGACCUCGCGCGAUUGGAGCGGCCGAUAUCAGAUUAGCUAGUUGGCGGGGUAAAAGCCCACCAAGGCAACGAUCUGUAGCUGGUCUGAGAGGACGACCAGCCACACUGGGACUGAGACACGGCCCAGACUCCUACGGGAGGCAGCAGUGGGGAAUUUUGGACAAUGGACGCAAGUCUGAUCCAGCCAUGCCGCGUGCGGGAAGAAGGCCUUCGGGUUGUAAACCGCUUUUGUCAGGGAAGAAAAGGUUCUGGAUAAUACCCGGGACUCAUGACGGUACCUGAAGAAUAAGCACCGGCUAACUACGUGCCAGCAGCCGCGGUAAUACGUAGGGUGCAAGCGUUAAUCGGAAUUACUGGGCGUAAAGCGUGCGCAGGCGGUUAUGCAAGACAGAUGUGAAAUCCCCGGGCUCAACCUGGGAACUGCAUUUGUGACUGCAUAGCUAGAGUACGGUAGAGGGGGAUGGAAUUCCGCGUGUAGCAGUGAAAUGCGUAGAUAUGCGGAGGAACACCGAUGGCGAAGGCAAUCCCCUGGACCUGUA